GUACGUGUAUUCGAGAAGGAGCCAGGAACUCCUUGAAGGUUCAUAAACCCUAAUCAUGAAGAUCACCAAAUUGAGGGGUUAAUUGUAGCUCAAAUUCAAGAAGGAACAUGGACUAAUGAUCACCUAAGUAUUUCCUACAUCAAAAUUGGAAUCACACGAGCAUGGGCCAAGCACGAAGGCUAACGGGUCAAGAUGAGGCAAGGAAGCGGUUACGAGCACGGAUGCACAAGGUAAGUAAUUUCCGUAAUUACUUCUUAGUUGUUUAUGUGAAGUUAUGUGCAACUUAAACUAAGUAUGAUAAUUGAGGUCAUAUAGGAAUGAAUGGUAUGAUAUCGAUGAAGUGUUAAACGGAUCUUAGCUUUGAUCCGAGCAAGGUAGGUGUGAUUAAGAAUUGUAGCUAAGUGAUAGGAUUGGUUACUUAUGCAAGAUAGUACUUUGUUGUUAAGGAUGGGGCAAGGUUGACAAAAACGCCCUUGAUGGGUAUUUGGGGCAAACGACCUUAAAAGUCGUUUGGAAACGAGUUAUUCGUUUAGAGUAAUGUCUUUGUCAAGUAUGAAAGCGAAGUAUAGGGUUUUGUAUGUCGUAG